rnacentral:tRNA from 1 species
GCGGCUGUGGUGAAAUUGGUAGACACGCUGGAUUUAGGUUCCAGUUCUUUACGGAGUGGGGGUUCAAGUCCCUCCAGCCGCACCA